CCGUUUUACGACAUUUCCGGACAGAGACUCAAGCCUUUCACUCCACCAUGGGUCCUAGAUCAGGACCUGUCUAUGCCAGGAAAGAGGAAAAUACCAUUGUGGCCCAGUCGGCCUGCAGGUCACGAGACAAAACAGACAACCAGCUGUGCCCCGGGUUCCAGGAACUACAGAAAAUCACAGACCUUGGAAUACGAAGACCACCAGCAACAGGACUGGCAAAGGACUAGGCUUCGGGUUGUGUUUUACCCCGGCCUCUGGUUAUGUGACUAGCUAAGAGGGAAACUAGGCACCAAGGCAAAGGUGAGGUGACCGGGCAAGUCUAAAGUUGUACUGAGUAGAGGCAAAGACUGCACAAGAAUGAAAGAAAAAGACCAAGUAAUGAGGGGCAUGAGCUAAUGUCCAACCCUGACUGAACAAAUUAUUUUCCCACACAUGUAUUCCGAAGACUGAAGAAACAGUAUUACAUACACUCUUUUGAGCGCUUUCUGACCAACAUUUUUCUAUUAAAGGUUAUGCUUCUCGGGAGCCAGUAUCAAAGCUUCUUGUGGCUUGUCAGUAAAUUUAAGAGGCCAAAUCUGUGUAAAUUUAAAUUACAUAAAACCUCUCCCUCAAUUGCCUGGUCUCAGAAUAGCCCCUUUCACUGGGCAUUAUCAUCAGGGAAUAUAAACGCCUUUAUCAUAGGAGCCCAGGCUUUUGAAAUCUUGGCAUAAUCGAAUUUCCUCCUCCCAAGGCAUAUCAAACAACAUUGCAGAAUGGAGUCUAAUUUGCUUUUUAACCAAAAGGUUCUUUCCUCUGCUUAUUUGAAGACUAUUUCUAUAUAACAAAUGCAGUGUUCUCUAUGACCACCCCCCUGCCAGAUGGCAGUGCCUGGAAGCCUACACGGUCACCCUAAGGGCAAAGAUUGACGGAAUUGUGAGGGAAAAAAACAGCAGGACACUCUGUGCAUCGGGGAGACAGUGGGGACCGCAUGAGCAGACACCUGAAAGCAUCAAAAGGUGGGCAUAUACUUAACUAACGAAGUCCUGAACAUGGGGGCAAGCGUCGCCCGCCCGUGAAUUGGCCUUCUCUGUCUGUCAGCUGGUGUGAAAACCUGGGAAUCUUUUGUUGACAGUGUCUGUAAGCUACCCUGAACCCCAAGCAGAUGAUUCAAGGCUGAGAAUACAUUCUGAUGCCGACACAGACAAUGGAACAGACAGACAAGGUCAGACGCAGGAAAUGUGGUACUUGGAGCACCGUUAGCCCGGACUAGCAUGAGCCUCUGGGGAUUCUCUAUGGAAGUCUUCGGACGCCCUGGGUGGUUUCUGAGAACAGGUUACAAAUCCAGACACCCCUCUUCUGCCUGUUAAGAAACUGGACUGUCCUCCAUUAACCACAAGGCCCGCGGUUACCAGGACUUCUCAGAGUCAUUCAUUAAAAUCUUCAUAUUGAGACGUCUCCUGCAGGACCAAACUCACAGAAGCAUCCAACAUGGCUGCCGUGACUAGGAUGGAGGCCUCUCCGGAGACAGAAUAAACACAUUGAUGGGAGUCACAGCUCCGUGUUCUUGUGUCUGCAAAGAGCUAAUCAAAGGCCCGCCCCUUUCUACGAUACCUCCUCGGCACAGAGCAUGGCCAUUUGUUUGUGGACAGAACGUUGUUCUCCAAUGCCCUACCUAUAAAUAUGUAAAGGCAAGAGACAAGACCAUUACUUUAGGGCACUGCUGUGCACUGCUGUUGGACAUCAUUAUGAAGGAAAGACUAUAAGCCCCAAGCAGAUAAAAUGCACAAAAGCCAGAGAGUCUACCAACAAGACACAAGCAUUUAGUGUUAUCCUGAAUUAGCCUCGUUUAUUUAUCGUCGUUCAUUUGAAACCAUGAAGCCCUUAUGCCUUGUAAAUCAAUACGCUAAAUGCUGUGGAAAUACAAAUUAAAAAUGAGUACUUGUCAAA